GAUGACUGCAAUGAAUUCAGUAUGUUUAUAUUUUACAAAUGUUGUGUCUCGAAUUGGUGACUGUACCUGUGAUUGUGUGCAGUUGUAACAUGUGAAAUAGCAUGCUGCUGUAGCAGGACUACUUGAUAAGGGGAUUGUAAUCUGUUUUCUCCUAGGUAACCAGGCUUCUUUCAAAUGUUUUGUUGUACGUUGCUUUAUUGCACAUGUCGUUUUUUUUAAUUGAUUUAGUGGUGUCUUAAUUAGAUAAUUGCCCUGGUUAUUUAAAUUGUUCCUUUGUUUGCGAUGGGGAGAGGAAGUAGCAUUAAUAAGGCCUUACAGGGCAUGCGACAUUAAAGGAACACCGAUAUAGAACUGGAGUGCAUGAGAAUGGGUUAUGUAUGGAAUGUAGUGGAAAGGAAACAGUGGAGCAUCUGAGGGAUUGCAAUAUUUCCAAUAUUUUUUUUGAAAUGGUACAGGUGAUAGAAAAAUAGAAAAAGGUAUUAUUGGGUGUAUUGCAAAAUAUAUUAGGAAGACUCAAGAAUAUUUAACAUACAGAGAUUUUAAAAGGUUAAGUGUUCACAGCAGUUUUAAUAGCCAAAUCUGAACAGUAGGUGGUGACAAUAAGUUUUGCUAGAAACUUGGUGACCAUUAACAGAACAGAAGAAGAAACAGGAGAGAAGAAGGGACGGUAGGUGUGGGACUUGGUAUUCGGUGUGCCGCUAUAGAGGGGAGUGCUCGGAAGACGCAUUUUGUCGGUGUCCUGCGGUGUUAAAGCCAGUUAUUUCAGGGGUUUUUGAGUCCAGUAUCACUACAUUUAAUUACACUCAAUCCAGAGAGUACUGUCUGUCGCAGAAUGCAGCUUUAGCAACCUUAGAGCAGGUGACUAGUGCUCAGAACACCAGCUUCCAGACCUGCAGGUAUGGAUGGGUGGAAGAGCAGUGAAUUCUUCUUGCCCGUACCACAGCGAUCAAGACUUGUGGCAACAGUAAUAUAGGCAUCAUUAAAAAAGGGCCCUGUGGAUACUACACUGCACCCAGUGCCUACUGCUACAAAACCAAUGAUGUAUACGUGGUCUAUCCUCCAUUUGGGAACAGUACCAUGACAUACAGUGAAGCUAUGCAACGGUGUUUAUCCCUUGGUGAUAGCUUGGCAUCAAAGAAACAACUGAGUAGUACAUCCACACCCAUCCCUGACGGCAUGUACACUGGGAUUUGAGCGGUUGUUGAAACAGUAAAGACAAGGACGUGGUUCAGUUCUCCAGUGGAAAGCUGACAGUUACUCCAUGUGUCAACAAACCCAGCCAGCUUGCUUUAGCCUACUGCUUCAACCCAAAUAUCACAGACUUUAUUCCAGUAAUCAAGGAUGACAAAUUGUGGCUCAAGAUUGCCAUAGUUUGCAUUAUCUCCUCUAUAUUUAUAAUCUUACUCAUGGCUGUCACCUUCAUGAAAGGGAAUAAGUGCAUCUGCUGUGUCAAACGUAAAAAGCCAGCGGAAGAAUCUACCCUAGAGAGAGGCCAAGGCUUUGACACAGUCAGAGGACUGCAUCGUGAUAGGAUUCCAUCAUACCAGAUCAGUGGCGCAAGAACCAAGCCACCUGUAUUGAGUAAGGCCUUAAACACUGGCUACAACUCUCAUUACUCUAACCAUGGCUUUGAAUCCACACCCGAGGCCAGUAAGCAGAACUUUGCCAAAACUUAUGUGGACCAUGACCGUUAUGAGUACAGCAAUGCUGCCUUUGAUAAUACUUAUUAAGACAUCAAAUCUGACUUGACUCCGCGGUUAAGCAGUGAUGACUGACACAAAUCAGCGACCUCUGGAAUUGAAUGGACUUCCCCCCACUGUAUUUUUUUUUUAUGUGUUCUACAUAAAAAAAAUAGUCAAAAUGAUUUUUUUUAGUUUGUUUUAGUAUUUCAAAAAAUUAUUUUAGUAUUUUAAACCCUCUUGAUUAAAUCUGAAAAAUGGUGCUGCUGUUCUUAUAGCAGCCAAGUAAUAAAUAACAAAAAAAUAUGAUUACUACAGACUUUGUGCAUUAAAUAAAUAAAUAAAUAAAUAAAUAAAUAAAUAAAUAAAUAAAUAAAAAGUU